UUUUUUACGAGGAAUUGGGCUACGGGUACCCGUACAGUUCUGCGGGUACCCGUAGGCCAAUUCCUCGUAAAAAAA
rnacentral:pre_miRNA from 1 species